GGAGGAAAAGAAACCAACAGGGAUUGCCUUAGUAGCGGCGAGUGAAGCGGCAAUAGCUCAAAUUUGAAAUCUGGCACCUUCGGUGUCCGAGUUGUAAUUUGAAGAAGGUAUCUUUGGUUUUGGCUCUUGUCUAUGUUCCUUGGAACAGGACGUCACAGAGGGUGAGAAUCCCGUGCGAUGAGAUGCCCAAUUCCAUGUAAAGUUCCUUCGACGAGUCGAGUUGUUUGGGAAUGCAGCUCUAAGUGGGUGGUAAAUUCCAUCUAAAGCUAAAUAUUGGCGAGAGACCGAUAGCGAACAAGUACUGUGAAGGAAAGAUGAAAAGAACUUUGAAAAGAGAGUGAAAAAGUACGUGAAAUUGUUGAAAGGGAAGGGCUUGAGGUCAGACUUGGU
rnacentral:rRNA from 1 species